rnacentral:rRNA from 1 species
GCGCGGUAAUACGUAGGGUGCGAGCGUUGUCCGGAAUUAUUGGGCGUAAAGAGCUUGUAGGCGGUUUGUCGCGUCUGCCGUGAAAAUCCGAGGCUCAACCUCGGACUUGCGGUGGGUACGGGCAGACUAGGGUGUGGUAGGGGAGACUGGAAUUCCUGGUGUAGCGGUGAAAUGCGCAGAUAUCAGGAAGAACACCGAUGGCGAAGGCAGGUCUCUGGGCCAUAACUGACGCUGAGAAGCGAAAGCGUGG